GAUGAACGCUGGCGGCGUGCCUAAUACAUGCAAGUCGAGCGAACAGACGAGGAGCUUGCUCCUCUGACGUUAGCGGCGGACGGGUGAGUAACACGUGGAUAACCUACCUAUAAGACUGGGAUAACUUCGGGAAACCGGAGCUAAUACCGGAUAAUAUAUUGAACCGCAUGGUUCAAUAGUGAAAGACGGUUUUGCUGUCACUUAUAGAUGGAUCCGCGCCGCAUUAGCUAGUUGGUAAGGUAACGGCUUACCAAGGCAACGAUGCGUAGCCGACCUGAGAGGGUGAUCGGCCACACUGGAACUGAGACACGGUCCAGACUCCUACGGGAGGCAGCAGUAGGGAAUCUUCCGCAAUGGGCGAAAGCCUGAAGGAGCAAAGCCGCGUGAGUGAUGAAGGUCUUCGGAUCGUAAAACUCUGUUAUUAGGGAAGAACAAAUGUGUAAGUAACUAUGCACGUCUUGAUGGUACCUAAUCAGAAAGCCACGGCUAACUACGUG
rnacentral:rRNA from 1 species